rnacentral:rRNA from 1 species
GCAUAUCAAUAAGCGGAGGAAAAGAAACUAACAAGGAUUCCCCUAGUAACGGCGAGUGAAGAGGGAAGAGCCCAAGAUUGAAAGCUGGCGUCUUCGGCGUCCGCAUUGUAAUCUCAAGAAGUGUUUUCCGCUUCGGACCAAGCCUAAGUCCCCUGGAAAGGGGCAUCAUAGAGGGUGAUAAUCCCGUACAUGGCUUGGAGCGCCCGAGGCUUUGUGAUACGCUUUCUAAGAGUCGAGUUGUUUGGGAAUGCAGCUCAAAAUGGGUGGUAAAUGCCAUCUAAGGCUAAAUAUUGGGGAGAGACCGAUAGCGAACAAGUACAGUGAUGGAAAGAUGAAAAGAACUUUGAAAAGAGAGUUAAACAGUACGUGAAAUUGCCAAAAGGGAAGGGUAGGAGGUCAGAGAUGCGGCCUGGGAUUCAGCCUUGCUUUUGCUUGGUGUUUUUCCCAGAUUGCAGGCCAACGUCGGUUUUGGGCACUGGAGAAGGGUAGGAGGAACGUGGCACCCCUCGGGGUGUGUUAUAGCCUCCUACUGGAUACAGCGACCGAGACCGAGGACAGCAGCGUACUCGCAAGAGCGGGCCUUCGGGCACCUUUACGCUUAGGGCGUUGGCAUAAUGGCCCUCUACCACCCGUCUUGAAACACGGACC